AAAUGUCCGUCAAGAAUAAACCACUUUAUAGCCCCAUGCCUUUUGAGUUAAACUUUACUAACUACUCAUCAUACCAGGCAAUUGAUAUGUUUUGUUUGCAUGAAAGGUUAAAUUUCCAAUAAUUACUUGACCUAUUCUCAAAGAAUUCAUUAUAAAAUCCAUGCUUCUAGUAUUCCUCUGGGGAUAUGAGAACGUGGAUGGUAGGCAGGAAAGUUGUGCUGGUGUUCUCUUUCCUUCUGCAUGGAAUGACCGCUUAAUGUUGUAUGUAAGAACAACGCUGCGCUGACUCCAGAUGGGACCUCCAGGUAAGAAAGAGGGGCGUUUAAUAAAGAAAAGGUCUGCGUAUUGCAAAUGGUAGCAGGGAAGCUAAAUACGAGGGUGUUUUCUUGGUGGUGAGGGGUGGUUCCCUAAGGUACAAGGAUUAGGAAAGGCCCUUAAUUGAAUGUACUGCCCACUCUCAAAGUCACGCAGUGCCUCCCAAAGGGCAGACUGCCCGUUAACCUGACUUUUGAAUACCAGUCGGGGCUCUGGGCUAAAUCUCCACUCUAGUUCACUCAUCUUAAAAAUAGACCCUGUAAGUGGCUUAGGUUAGAAAUAGAGUCACAGAGAUCAUUAGAUCGUUGGGUGAGUCAACUCCUCCACUAGAAGCACUGUUGGGAAGUUAAAACGAAAUCAUGAGCUAGUUAUCACAAGCUUUUCCACCGAACGUUUCAUCUUGACGGAGAAGGGCAAGAGCGCUCAGCGGGACUGGCUGUGCCCGCAUUCUCCCGGCAGCGCCAACUCUAGGGCGUCAGGGCAGCGGCCGCCGCGGCCGGGGCGCUGCAGGGCACGAGUGCAGGCGCGGCGCCGGCGCCCGCCUCUCAGCCCUGCCCCCGCACCGCCGUAAUUGCGGGUUUUAAUUAAGGAGGAGGAGUCCGGUUGCCGACUGAGCCGUAAAAGUGAUUUUUUUUUUUUUUCCCAAGAGGAGACCGGCUUCCUGCAUUAAAGGCUUUCCCCUGCCUCCCCACUCAUUCUUGCACCCCCGCUGCCAGCUCUCGCGGAGGAGGGGAGAAUACCGGUGCGUACCUCGCUUCCUGUUUGAUUAACUCACGCGCUCGCCUCGCGCUUUCUCGGAGCAGCAGGGGAGCGACCGCAGCUCCGCCCCAAGAGGGGGCCCGCGAAACCCAGCCGGGCUAGCCUAAGCGCGGCGCCCCUACCUGCGCCCCCUGCCCCUCGUCGGCGUCCUGUGCGGUGUCCACUGGCCGGCGGCGCCCAGGAAAGGGCCAAGGAGGAAUGCUGCCCGGGAAAUGUGGAGUGUCCCAGGCAAUGAAAAAAUAAAUUUGUGAUGAAUUGGCAACACAAAGAAUUUUGAGCUUGGAAUAUUCCUUGCUGUCCCUAACUCUGAUGAUAAAGUUGCCUUCUAACUCCUGAUACAGGUGUCAGUGGCUGUGGUCAAGUUCUAUGGCUCUGUUACAUGUCUUCUCAUUCCAGAUUCCAGCCUCAAAAAGUGUGCCUUAUUUGGGACAUCCAAAAAAGAAGAACUCUUGAUGCCUCCUAAAGUUUCUAAAUGUCCGGAAGUGUUCCUCAGAAAGAAUGUGCAUAGGUAACGAGUUUUUCAAUAAAAAGCUUCUUCAUAAAAACUACAUAGAGGACUUAUGCUUCCAGAUUGAUUGCACCGUGGGAAGAUUCAGAGCUCCCUUCUUCUGUAGACACUCAGCUGAAUGAGAAAACACAAACAUCAAAAACAGAUUUACACAGCUGGUUCUUAGAGCAGCAGUGGACCUCUUGCAUCAAUUUGAAAGUUGAUUUCAAUCAACAUUGAUUGCCCAGUCUGGACCAUUAAGCGCAUAAGCUGAUUUCAGAGAAAUGAAAUAUGAUGGAUGUAGAAAUCAGAGUGGGAAAACUCAAGAACAACAGGAAGAAAUCAAGGGUCCUAAAAAUCUGAAUCUAGAGAAUCUGAAAUGCAAUGCUUCCUAAGAACUAUAUAAUGGUAAAGAAAUUCAUAGCAUUCCUAGUAACAUUCCCCAUAAUUCAAGUUCUGAGUACACAGGGAAGCAAGAGGAGGCAGCACAGGGAAACCCACAGAGGGAAGAGGGAACACUUAGACAUUUGGGGGCCAGUGAAAUUUUGUUCACUUUAGGAUAAUGCUUUCAUUUCCCUCAUAAUCUGAAAUUUAAAUAUCCUUUUUAAAGCCAGUCAAGUAUCUUCCCUACUUAUGUACUUAGUUUUCUUCAAACAAUAGGGUACAACUGUUUAGGGAUCCCUGAAACCCAUCACCCUUUCAUUAACAAUCAAUAACAACAAAAAUAGGAAUAGAAGGCAUUAGGCAUUUAGAAUUUAAGUGAGUUUACAAUGAGAUUAAAUGUACAUGUUAUACCAGUUACCCUACAUAUUUUAUCCUGUUCCCACACAAACUUAAAACGGCAACAGAGAAAGAGAAUGAGGGUCCACAAAUUAGGUAAAAGGCAGGGAAGACAAAGAGAAAGAUAUUUAAAAAGAAAGAGUUUUCAGCAGUUUGCAUGGCAGUCUUCAUAUUUUUCCAAUGGAACAGAAAGCUGUCUACUAUUUUAACAUAUACAAGAAGUAAAAGGCAAGUCUCAAAGAGCUUGAAAACUAUUUAGUGGUUUACAAGAAGUCAUUUUCAGUACUUUUAUUUCUAUGUUACAGGCUGUUAUAUCCUUCUAGAUAUUUCCCUCACUUCAUCAGAAGAGACAGGGAUUCUUUAUUUCCAUGUUAAUAUUCU